UGUAAAUUACCAUGUAAUCAUUCACGCCUCGGUUGGAUGACGCCGUUAGACCUUGUUGUUGAAGAUUGGCCACUCUAAUGUAAAAUACCGAUUCAUACACAGACACAUAUGAGGCUUAUGGACAAUGAGGCUUAUGGACAAAGGGAGGUAACUCUGUCGGGCAAACACUCCUAACCGCUCAACUCCCAUUCCAGGUCGUGCCGCUGUGUUGAGCUCCACUUACCGGCCGUCACUGUAAGGAGCUAGAGGCUCUUCAACAACUAGGCGUCUUCUGUUACAGCAUGUCAGUCUUUUGUAUAGGGAGGGAUGCAAGACAUUUACCAAUUUGAUGAAGCCCAAGUGUUUGCUGAGUCACCAAGAACCAUUCACAAUGGAAUUCAGGGACUAGAUGUUGUGCUGUACACAACUAUAAACAACUCUGCUUUUGAUGAAGAUUAUGAGAUAAAUCAGAUGUGCUUGAAUAGACUCCUAACUUAUUCUGUGAAUCUGUUUUGUGUACCAUGAACAAAUAACAUAUAUGCCCAACAGUAU